GCCUCGAGCCGCCACGCCCUGGGGUCUUGGGCCUUGUUGGCGGCAAUUCCUGGCCCCUGUGUGCGCGGGAGGAGGAGUCUGGUGGGGACGUGGGCAACACUGAGGGACGCCGGUGCGCGUGGCGAGCCCAGGCCGCAGCCGCAGGUUGUUCACCCUCUCCUGCCCUAGGGCGCAAGCCCUGCCUUUUGGUCGCCGGGUGCCGCUCCAGCUACCAGGGAGGGGGUUUGUCUCUGCGACCGGAAAAGACCCGGACGGUGCUAAUGGUAUUGUAUUUCACAGCAAAUCUGAAUGUUUAAUUAAAGAAUGGAAUACAGAAAACCACAAAAUACUUCACCUAUUGAUUUAAUCUCAUCUGAAAUUCUACAGGUGUGUCUUCUACCUCAGCAUAUCAAGGCAACAGGCUUCYCUUUCCUUGAGGCUUGAAUGAAAGACAUUCUUCCAUACAUCUCAGAAUACACCCGAGAGUGAUACUGCUGCAGCCAGCGGGAAUUUCAAGGGCAAAAUUGGGAAAUGGCAAUGGAGUAAAGUGUUUUUCAGGGUCUCCAGAAGAUUAUGUAAUACAUAGCAAAGUGAGAACYUCUGGGUUCAAGAAGAGUGAAAAAGAAAAGCAGUGGCCAGAUGUCAUUGGCUUUGCUUGUUUCUAAUGUAAUCAGAGGUCAUCAA